rnacentral:rRNA from 1 species
UGAGGGCGAGUUGCAGCCCUCAAUCCGGACUAAGAUUGGCUUUAGGAGGUUGCCAUCCCCUUCGGGGUAGAUACCCAUUGUACCAACCAUUGUAGCUCGCGUGUAGCCCGGGAUAUUCGGGGCAUACUGACCUACCGUUGCCCAUUCCUUCCUCCGCUUUAGCAGCGGCGGUCCCCACAGUGUACCCGUCACUCCGGAGAGUACGCUGGCAACUGUGGGCGUGGGUCUCGCUCGUUGCCUGACUUAACAGGAUGCUUCACAGUACGAACUGACGACGGCCAUGCACCACCUCUCUAGCUAAUCCGGCAAAGUCUUCAGCCUGGCCUUCAUAUCGCUGUCGACCCCGGUAAGAUUUCCGGCGUUGAAUCCAAUUAAACCGCAAGCUCCACCCGUUGUGGUGCUCCCCCGCCAAUUCCUUUAAGUUUCAGCCUUGCGGCCGUACUUCCCAGGUGGCUCGCUUCACGGCUUCCCUACGGCACCGACCACGGUCGCACCGUGGCCAACACCUAGCGAGUAUCGUUUACGGCU